AUUGAACGCUGGCGGAAUGCUUUACACAUGCAAGUCGAACGGCAGCACGGACUUCGGUCUGGUGGCGAGUGGCGAACGGGUGAGUAAUGUAUCGGAACGUGCCCAGUCGUGGGGGAUAACGUAGUGAAAAUUACGCUAAUACCGCAUACGAUCUAUGGAUGAAAGCGGGGGAUCGCAAGACCUCGCGCGAUUGGAGCGGCCGAUAUCAGAUUAGGUAGUUGGUGGGGUAAAGGCCCACCACGCCAACGAUCUGUAGCUGGUCUGAGAGGACGACCAGCCACACUGGAACUGAGACACGGUCCAGACUCCGACGGGAGGCAGCAGUGGGGAAUUUUGGACAAUGGGCGAAAGCCUGAUCCAGCCAUUCCGCGUGCAGGAUGAUGGCCCUCGGGUUGUAAACUGCUUUUGUACAGAACGAAAAGGUUUCUACUAAUACUAGGAGCUCAUGACGGUACUGUAAGAAUAAGCACCGGCUAACUACGUGCCAGCAGCCGCGGUAA
rnacentral:rRNA from 1 species